rnacentral:rRNA from 1 species
CAGCAGCCACGGUAAUACGAACCGUGCGAACGUUAUUCGGAAUCACUGGGCUUAAAGCGCGUGUAGGCGGGAGGGCACGUCCGUCGCUGAAAUCCCCCGGCUCAACCGGGGAACGGGCGCGGAUACGACUCUCCUUGAGGAACGUAGGGGGACCUGGAACUUCCGGUGGAGCGGUGAAAUGCGUUGAGAUCGGAAGGAACGCCCGUGGCGAAAGCGAGGUCCUGGACGUUGACUGACGCUGAGACGCGAAAGCCAGGGGAGCGAACGGGAUUAGAUACCCCUGUAGUCCCUGUCUCUUAUU